AUUGAACGCUGGCGGAAUGCUUUACACAUGCAAGUCGAACGGCAGCACGGGGGCAACCCUGGUGGCGAGUGGCGAACGGGUGAGUAAUACAUCGGAACGUGCCCGGUCGUGGGGGAUAACGUAGCGAAAGUUACGCUAAUACCGCAUACGAUCUGAGGAUGAAAGCGGGGGACCUUCGGGCCUCGCGCGAUCGGAGCGGCCGAUGUCAGAUUAGGUAGUUGGUGGGGUAAAGGCCUACCAAGCCGACGAUCUGUAGCUGGUCUGAGAGGACGACCAGCCACACUGGGACUGAGGCACGGCCCAGACUCCUACGGGAGGCAGCAGUGGGGAAUUUUGGACAAUGGGCGCAAGCCUGAUCCAGCCAUUCCGCGUGCAGGACGAAGGCCUUCGGGUUGUAAACUGCUUUUGUAUGGAACGAAAAGGCUCUGGCUAAUACCUGGGGCUCAUGACGGUACCGUAAGAAUAAGCACCGGCUAACUACGUG
rnacentral:rRNA from 1 species